rnacentral:rRNA from 1 species
GCACCACAAGGGGUGAAGCUUGCGGUUUAAUUGGAGUCAACUCCGGGAACCCUACCAACGGCGACAGCUGGAUGAAGGUCAGAUUAAAGGUCUUACCGGACUAGCUGAGAGGAGGUGCAUGGCCGUCGCCAGUUCGUGCCGUGAGGUGUUCUCUUAAGUGAGACAACGAACGAGACCCGCGCCUCUAGUUGCCACCGGUUUCCUUCGGGAUUCCGGGCACACUAAAGGGACUGCCCUCGCUAAGAGGGAGGAAGGAGCGGGCCACGGCAGGUCAGUAUGCCCCAGAUCCGUUGGGCCACACGCGAGCUGCAAUGGAUGGGACAAUGGGUUCCGACCCCGAAAGGGGAAGGCAAUCUUCAAACCCAUCCUCAGUUGGGAUCGAGGGCUGCAACCCGCCCUCGUGAACAUGGAAUCCCUAGUAACCGCAUGUCAUCAUCGUGCGGUGAAUACGUCCCUGCUCCUUGCACACACCGCCGUCAAACCACCCGAGCGAGGCGUGAAUGAGGACCCUUUCUUUGAAGGGCUCGAAUUCACGUUUUGUAAGGGGGGUU